rnacentral:rRNA from 1 species
UCCUUGUCAGGUAAGUUCUGACCUGCACGAAUGGCGUAACGACUUGGGUACUGUCUCAACGAAGAACUCGGCGAAAUUGCAAGACGAGUAAAGAUGCUCGUUAACCAUAGCUGGACGAAAAGACCCCGUGAAGCUUUACUAUAGCUUAAUAUUGGGUUAUGACUAUGCAUGUUCAGAAUAGGUGGGAGCCGCAAGGCAACAGUGAGAUACCACCCUUGUAUAUUUGUAACCCUAACCCUCAGGCCUUGAAUCAGGUCAGGGGACAGUAUUUGGUGGGUAGUUUGUCUGGGGCGGAUGCCUCCCAAAGAGUAACGGAGGCGUUUACAAAGGUUGGCUAUCCCGGAAUGGAAACCCGGGAGAUAGUGUAAAGGCAAAAGCCAGCUUUACUGCAAGACCAGCAAGUCGAGCAGUUGCGAAAGCAGAACUUAGUGAUCCGACCGUUCGAUAUAGGACGGCGGAAGCUCAUCGGAUAAAAGCUACUCCGGGGAUAACAGGCUAGUCACGCCCAAGCGUCCACAGCGACGGCGUGGUUCGGCACCUCGAUGUCGGCUCGUCGCAUCCUGGGGGUGAAGAAGCUCCCAAGGGUUGGGCUGUUCGCCCAUUAAAGCGGCACGCGAGCUGGGUUCAGACCGUCGUAAGACAGGUCGGUCUCCUAUCCACUAUGGUCGUGGAAACUUGAGAAGGCUCUUCCCUAGUACGAGAGGACCGGGAAGGACGAAGCUCUAGUGUGCCGGCUGUCCCACCAGGGGCAUUGCCGGGUAGCUACCUUCGGUUUGGAUAAGCGCUGAAGGCAUAUAAGCGCGAAGCCGUCUUCAAGAUUAGGUUUCAUAGAGUCGUCGGAGAACACGACGUUAAUAGGCUCUAGGUGUAAGUGCAGUAAUGCAUUCAGCCGAGGAGUACUAAUCACUCAAAUGAUUUUC